UGUUAUAUGAUGACAACCAUAUCUCAGCUCACUCAGAUCUACAAAUGAUCGACAACGAUUUCCUAUCCAACAUUCAUCAAUUUAACUGACUCGACA
rnacentral:snoRNA from 1 species